rnacentral:rRNA from 1 species
AACCUUUACACUGCACGCCAGUGCGAUAAGGGGACUCCAAGUGCGAGGGCAUAUCGUCCUCGCUAUCCUGUACUGUAGGGUAGUACAGUAUCAAGAGCUGGGCAAGACCGGUGCCAGCCGCCGCGGUAAUACCGGCAGCUCGAGUGAUGGCCAAUCUUAUUGGGCCUAAAGCGUCCGUAGCUGGCCGCGCAAGUCCGUCGGGAAAUCCAUCAGCCCAACUGAUGGGCGUCCGGCGGAAACUGCACGGCUUGGGACCGGAAGGCUCGAGAGGUACGUCCGGGGUAGGAGUGAAAUCCCGUAAUCCCGAACGGACCACCGAUGGCGAAAGCAUCUCGAGAAAACGGAUCCGACAGUGAGGGACGAAAGCUAGGGUCUCGAACCGGAUUAGAUACCCGGGUAGUCCUAGCCGUAAACGAUGUUCGCUAGGUGUGGCACUGGCUACGAGCCAGUGCUGCGCCGUAGGGAAGCCGAGAAGCGAACCG